AGGACCAUACCAUGUCGAAACACCGGUUCUCGUACGAUCACCGAAGUUAAGUAACGUCGAGCCUUGUCUGUACCUAGAUGGGUGACCACUUGGGAAUACCGGGUGGUGUA